rnacentral:rRNA from 1 species
GGGCCCGCACAAGCGGUGGAGUAUGUGGUUUAAUUCGAUGCAACGCGAAGAACCUUACCAGGGUUUGACAUCCUGCGAAUCUCUUGGAAACAGGAGAGUGCCUUCGGGAACGCAGUGACAGGUGGUGCAUGGCUGUCGUCAGCUCGUGUCGUGAGAUGUUGGGUUAAGUCCCGCAACGAGCGCAACCCACGUCUUUAGUUGCCAGCAUUAGUUGGGCACUCUAGAGAGACUGCCGGUGAUAAACCGGAGAAGGUGUGGAUGACGUCAAGUCAUCAUGCCCCUUACAUCUGGGCUACACACGUACUACAAUGCUACGGACAAAGGGCAGCAAGUUCGCGAGGACAAGCAAAUCCCAUAAAGUGCGUCGU